rnacentral:lncRNA from 1 species
UCGUUCUCCUGGGGUUGGGUUGGUUUUAUGAAGGCAGGGGGGAGGUUCGCAGCGUCAGUGGCUGGGUAGCUGACUGGGUGAGCGAGGUGUCAACAAAGGUGCAGCAGCACAGAUGGUGUAGCAGGGAGUCAUUGUACCUAUUCCGAUGUGUGCGGUCGCACUAUUUUUGGGCGGGGCCCCAGCGCGAAGCGCCCAGGGGGCUCCCGACCUGUAGGAUUGCCCAUGUCCGUGUGUGUGUAUGUGUGUGUGUGUGUGUGUGUGUGUGUGUGUGUGUGUGUGUGUGUGUGUGUGUUUGUGUGUGUGUGUGUGUGUGUGUGUGUGUGUGUUUGUUCGUGUGUGUGUAACGGACCAAACAUAAUAUCUCGCCCGGCUGAAACGCGUUAUAGGUACUAUACAGCAUUCUCUAUUGCAAGGUAUCUCGCAUGUAGCUAACAAAGACCGUAUGAGCACAAACAAGUUUAGCUGCCUCCAUUCACCGACCUCAAAAGUCACAUCAACGCCUCUCGCGCUAAAUUUCAUCCCGAAAGCUGCCGCGUAUCUCAUAAUGGAAUUCUGAGAUGACGGCUUAUGAUAACUCGAACACCCAGCUUGUGUUACCAUUUGCCGGCAUGGGCAAUCCGACUUGCCACCAGCAGGCCAACAUAAUUUGCUUUCAAAUCUCUAUGAAAUACACAAGCUGCUUGUUUGUACAUUUACUUGGGCCAAUGCACGGGGCCUCCGAAGAGUUGCGGUGUGCCCCGAUGAAGCCCGCGGCUGUGGGGCGGAUUGCUGAGGCCGCUGGCGCUUCGGGGAUAAACAUCACAGACAGCACCGAAAUUCACCCAGCUUUCGUUACCAUUUUCCCGCACGGGCAUUCCGACUUGCGGUCUGCCGCACUGUCCAUGCGGCAUGCACCCGGGAUGGAUGCGAUUCGCGUGGAGCCCGCAGGCGGUGCUGAUGAUUCCGCCGGUGCAAGCUUAGCUCCCACACCAUCAGUACUGCUGCAACAAAGCACAUCUCCCACCGCAGUGACACUACCCAUCAAUUGUCACACGUGCCGCGCUAGCUACCGGCCUGUACGGAUGCAGGGGGACCCGCCCUUUUUCCGGCUUCGAGGAAGCCGACACCCAACUUGUCCAGUGUGCGAGUGUGCACCUUCACCGUCCUUGCUUGCCGAUUUUGUUUAGAACCAAGGCUCGGAACCCAAGAACAGCAUAGCGAGCCCAACACAUGCCUGGAUGUGGUGCUGCUGCGAAUGGAUACCUGGCAUACACUUUUACAUGACUGUCAGCCUCCAACCAACCAACUGCCGCCAAUUACCAAGAUGCUAGGAACCCACCCAAAUGAGCUACUGCCUCACCGCUGUCUGCAGAUCCCAGUGGGCGGCCACAUGGUAGUACUUGAAGUUGGGGUCGCGGGCGCCCUGCAGGAGAGGCCUAUCAGGGACCCUGCGAGUGCGAGUAAGAGUGCGAGUAAGAGUGCGAGUAUGAGUGCAAGUGUGAGUGCGCGUAAGAGUGCGAGUAUGAGUGCGGGUAAGAGUGCGGGUAUGAGUGCGGGUAUGAGUGCGGGUAAGAGUGCGGGUAUGAGUGCGGGUAUGAGUGCGGGUAAGAGUGCGGGUAUGAGUGCGGGUAAGAGUGCGGGUAUGAGUGCGGGUAUGAGUGCGAGUGUGAGUGCGAAUGUGAGUGCGAGUAAGAGUGCGAGUAUGAGUAAGAGAAGACUUAAGGUGAUGGUAGAAUACCUGAGAGACGAGACAUGAGCGCUUAAAGGGAGGCUUCAAUCCCUGUACGGUAGACGGAUGCGCAACAUGUCACUGGGGCUGGCGAGCAUAAUCUGCCAUGGAAUGCAAAGCAGAUGCGGCAAAAGCACGAAUGAUAAGGACUCUGAUGACCAUGGCCAACACACAUCAUCUUUAUACCAGCAGCAGCUUCAACAACAGUAAUGACAACGGCGUUCCACUGCCAGAACAACAUUCUACAACCUGUUUUCCAUGUCUUAUAUGCAUCAUUUUGCCGAUUCAGCCGCUAGUGCCGUACCUGGGGAUCAGGUCCUUGGUGUUGGUCAAACGCCAGGCAUUUGAAGCCAGCUUAUUGAACUCGUUCAUGAACACCAAGUUGCCCACGCGGGGGCUGGCGAAGGUGUAACACAGGAUAUCGCCAGUGAAGACCCUGAGGCCGUACAUCCCGAUACCAUUGACCGCGAAUUUGCGUGAUGAGACAUCGAAAUGGACCACAGUUGGCCGCGGUGGUGCACACAAGGGAUAGGACGGCCAGGUGGACGAAACGGGAUAGAGAGGGGGGGGGAAGCAAUACCAUCCAAGCCACCACGAAAUUAAAACUGCUGGCUCCUUCUCUUUAGUGACUUUACUAAACAAAUGCAGCAAUCCCCAUCGUAAAGAGCAUAUCGCCAUGUGAGGCCUGUUUUGCCCAUUUGAUCGAAGAUGACAUCAUUCCCACUCGUACAGUGCCGUACCCUUCCUGCUUGCGGGCGCUCAAGUCGUAUGUCGCCAGCGUUGCCAGAGCACCGCCUAGCGAGUGUCCCGUGAAGACGACGGUGGUGGAGGAGGCGCGGCCAUCUGUCCCUACAGCAGCAGCCCACACCAGGAGUUUGCAUAAAGACACAGCAGGUAGGGCCGUUCCCAUGGUGAUGCAGGUGGCGGGCCCAUGGCGGCGGUGGUGGACACCAGCCAAAGAGUACUCAGGGAGACGCCAAGGGAGCUGAAUCCUUCUCACAUUCCUCUCCCCCUCGAGCGAACAUCCUCGGUCGCCCCCGGGCAUAUCCCGUAGGAUUUUGGUUGUUUGAGAUCCCGUAGGAUUGUGAGAUUGUCGGUUAUUGUGACAUUUCGUGAGUCCCCGUCCGGGAUGGAGGGAUUUGAUUUUACUCAGCUGGUAGACUUCUCACCCGCCCAGGCAUCCACCUUUGGGAUAUGAGUAUGAUGUGUGAAACAGGGGGGUGUAUCUUCGCCCGUGGCAGCUACCCUGCGAAACCCUGCCUUCCCCGGUAUUUCGGGGCACCCUCAUCCAGUCACCCUAGUCAACUUCUCAGUGGAUCGCUCAGGUUCCGCACCCACCACCAGCAUCCAACGGAAUCUGCCGGGUCGACAGCGGCCCAACUCCGUUCCUGGUCGGCUCGCAGGUUAACUUUAUCCCAGGUCACCACCGUCCAUCAACUAGGGGCGCAAUGCAUUCCACCAUCGGAAGGACGUUUUGACCCUAACGGGUAUCGAUCCCGGGAUCUUCCGGGGGGCAAUGGUCGCGCCUUACCAGUGGUGCCAAACCCUUGGGUAUAUAUGCAUCGUGACUGGUGUGCGAUAUGUUCACAACCGGAUUCGAUUCGGGGAUUUCUCACCUCCUAGCAAUUCGCACCAUUGUAGCACCAGGCAAAGAGUACCCAGGGAGAUGCCAAGGGAGCUUAACCCUUCCUACAGCGGUGGUGGACACCUAGACGCACAGUGGCAUUGGCAUCCUCACCUGCCGGAUACUGCUGGUCAAAAAUGAGCAGAUCCAGAAUCGACAUGAUCGUCGCGCGGAUGCUCAUGUAGGCGCGGAGGAAGCCGGUGUGCACCAGGACCUGCGGUGGAGUCUUCAGGCCAUUGGCCUCCAGGGGAUUCAGGUCGUCUGGUGGCGUGAGGAACAGAUCGGCAUCCGUCAAGAUGUUGGCUAGGGAGUCCUGUCACGAAGGAGUGAGAAACGGAGGGAGGGACGAAAGGAGGUUACAUCACAUGGCGGUGGGUCGGGGGCAACAAAUAAUUCGCAGGAGUGCAACUUCUUAGCAUUACGGGGUGCUGUAGAGUCACUAACAUGAAUGCUCAUCGUGUGCUCAGAACCGCGCAUGAUUGCACGAUCAAUAAUACAUUGCAGUGCACAUUCGCUGCUGCUGGAUAACCAGCAAGCACACUGCGCCCUUGCUUGCUGAGACCACGUUUCCAUCUGUCCGUCCGUCCGUCUGUCCGUCCGUCUGUCCAUCCGUCUGUCCAUCCGUCUGCUCCAUUCCUCCCAACCCACCCCCAACUCCAUCCGGGCCGGAACUUACGAUUUCUGUCCCGCGGAAAGACACCAUCACCUUUCCGCAACUGCCAUUCCGGUAGAACCACACCUGCGCUCACAUACAUACAUACAUAUUUUAUCUCCCGGACGGGUGCUAUCUCCCCUGGACUAGCCCAGGGAGGGAGAGGCGGAGGAGGGUAGUAGUCUCAGGAGGCUGUUUGGCGUCUUGUGGUGUCAGCUCUUUGCGCUCUUUUUGCGUGAGGGUUUUUAAGCUUGGUGACCUCCCCAGCCCGGGAUGACUCGUCGGGCUCCCGGUCGCCCAGGUCCUGGUUGCGAGCUUUCUUUCUUUCUGCUCGGUACGUUCGGUCGGCAGGAAGAGCCCCCCAGUUGCGACUUCGUUUAUGUUAGGAGGCCCGGGGGCGGAGUGCAUGAGACUAACCAGCCGUGUGCACCCCCCCCGCGCUGUGUUUCGGCCCUGGGCCCCCGGCUUUUCAGCCCACAGUGUAAUCAGCGUCAUACAUACAUACAUGCAUGUGCUCUUGCAUAUGUGAAUGUGUUAUUGGGUGUGUAUCCGUACGUGUGUUACAACCUGAGUGCAUUACCAUUCCAAAGGUGCAGUGACGAGAGCAGUGAUGAGAGCAGGACAAUUGUACAAUGAAAAUCUAUGCGUGUAUGUGUACAGCAGCACUGCGCGCAGCCACCGCCUAAUCUACCACUGUAUCGGUGUCGGGGCAGUUGACGUAGGCCAGCAGGGUGAGAUCCUCGGCGCCCGCCUUGCGGCUCAGCUCGUCCCAGUUGACCUUCUCUUGCGGCUUUCUCAACAGAAGCUCCUGAAUGGAUUCCAAUGUGAUCUCGGCGACAUCCACACGGACUGUAUGUCGACGCAGGGGUCCGAAAAAGCAAAGACGUUAAUCAUGGAUUCUUUUGCCUGCUGCUGGAUGUACAUAUAGGUUCUUUGUGUGUGUCUGUGUGUGUGCGUGCGUGUUUGGGAGUUUUAGUAGCAAUGACGCAUACACGCAGGCAUGGUCUACCUAGCUUUUCAUCGCUGUUGCUGUAUGUGCAAUUGACUGCCCAGCCUAGCUAGGCGCGGAGGCAGGGAGCUGCUUAGCCCCAGUGGCAGCCAUCAGCGGCCCCAGCAGCAUUAGUACUGGCGCCAGCAAUCAAUAGCAACAUUAGUGAUAUCAGCAGUGCUGUACAGCUAGCGCAGCUAGCGCAGCAACAGUAGCGAGCAGCCAUACAGUGGCAACAUAAAGCAGCAGCAGCAGCAGCAGCAGUAGCAGCGACAGCAGCAUCCGGAUCCCACCCUGCAACCCAACUGCAGCCUGUUAUGUCACGAGUUCAGAAAAGUACCGAUCGGCGGAUGUCAAAAUCCCAGGGUGAUAUGCCCGGGGUACUACAGACAAGUGCACUUAAUAUGUCACAUGAAGCCGUUAUAUAUCUAUGUACCCGGCGGCCUUCACAACAGGUUGUAUAGCACUAGACGACCUCGGUUGCCUCAGUACACAUCACGGCACAGAUGUAACACGGACAUACUGUAUCGGUGUCAUACCAAGCCUGCUUACACUUGAAUGCGAAACUCAGGAUGUCGUGUGCGAUCUGCGCGUGUGGAUUGGAACGAGGCGGCAUCGACAGGUCGGCGGCACGGAGCGAGGAGAUGAUAAGAUCCGUCAAUAAAAAGACAAGGAAAUGAUGAAAUGUGCACGUUUGCGCGAAGACAUUCCGGAUUUAUGACAAUCCUAUUCAUGCAUUACUUGUUAUUUUUCUAGCCAUAAAUAAUGUUUCACGAGAUUACUUACUACCGUAUCCCUCAUGUCAAAAGCCAGGUUAAUAUCAGGAAUAAAUUCCUGACCCGCAAAGCUUAACAUUAUGAAGCGUUAUCAUAAAGCUAAUCUUCUUUCUAAUCUCCUUUAGCAAAGGAGCUAACUAUCGGAAUUCAUGGAGUGCUUUACUUGAAUAUAUACAUUUUAAACUGUGUAACCUGGGUAACCUGGGUACAGGUUGAACAAUUUCGUGUUUUAUUUGGAAGUAUGAAACAUUGCUUGAUAGCUGAUGAAAUCAUGGCAACCGGUACUGUCGACCAAACCUCUGUUUGCCCAAGUGAAAUAAUAAAAAAGAUUUUGGUUCAUUAGGCCGGAGCAAUUAUCAUGAUUCACAAUUAUCCAAUCAGUAGCGCAAGACCUUCUGGUUCAGAUAUUGAUUUGACAGCACAACUAGUGAAUCCAUGUAAUGCUGUGAAUGUAAGUGUACAUGAUCAUGUUAUUAUCGGCAGGGGCGAGCGGUGCACCGGCGAGAAUAGUUUAGAUCGAAAAGGCAAGGUAAGUUUGCCAACAACUUAGCCGUUUGAGCAAGUAUCGAUGGAGGACAGCGGGUUAAUCCGCUACAAAUACAACCUUAAUUAAAAACAAGUAGCUGGCUUCCUCAGCCCCAACAAAUUGAGUUAUCGGCCUUUCGAGGUAUUUUAUAAAAUAAAAAACAUCAACUCGCGAGCUGACCAGGAACUAAGUUGACGCGCCGUUGAUCCGCUAGAUUUGGUUGGAUGCUGGUGGUGAGUUGCCAAACUCAAAGAGUACACUCUGAAGUCGGAUGGGGUGAAUGGCUUAGGGUGCCCCUCUAGCAGGGGAGAGCAGGGAAUUGCCUCGGGAAGGAGGCCAUUGGUGAAGCUUAAGCACCCUGUAACAACAUCAACAAAAAACAAGUAGCGGGCUUCCGUAGCCCAACGUAGCCCAUUCAAACAAAUGCCAUGGGACAAAGGUUGCCAAUUAGUUCCUCACGCACGCAACUGCUGCACGUAACUGUAGGCAGACGGGCCUAGCUGCACCUCGAAACAACGUCCUUCAUAAAAUACAUGGCGCAUACAGUUACGCAGUUACAACUUAAAUAUUAGCAAGGUUUGAAGUGUUGUUUCCCGUGCUUGUCCGGACCCACUUGCUAAAUACGAUACCACUAUCAAAGAGAACGAUCUGAAUCAAGACCGACAUGAUCGAGAUGUGUAAAGUGUUAACGACGCCAGCCAAACAUAUGCACACCGACAGACAAUCACGUCUACCUACACAUGAUUGCCUGUCUGCGUGCAUAUGUUGUGCCAUACACACAUACACACAUACAUGCACACAUACACACAUACAUGCACACAUACACACAUACAUGCACACACGCAUGGAACGAACCCACCUUCACUAAUGGUUGUUCCCGGGGCAGUAUAUUCUUCGCGGCGAAAGGGUUGUCGGAGAACGGGGCCAGCAGCCAUGUGAAACUCAUUUGGUUAGCUUUCCGGGGGCAUUCGGCGGGCGCGGGGGGGGGGGCCCAGUCACCGAACGAAUAACACGCACGGGGCUGAAGGGGCGGGAGUUCCGUGUCAGUUAAUUAACGAUAGCUCGGAGGGGGUUUCCAACGGUCAUCGCAUGUGAAACAGGCAAGGCAUAUUACGCAAUCAUCGCUAAAAGCUGAAUCUGGCAGCCAAUACUGGUACGACACUCUACCAUACUACGAUCGACACUUUAUGUGUGUUGGAGAUCACUCUCUGGUAGUAAGAAGGCGCUGUGCGCAGGCAGAACGCACGAACGAGUAUGGACAAUGAUCAAAGCACCAGCUUGGCAAUUAAUGACCAACCCAGUGCGGCUCAUGCGGUAUACCCUCUGCUAGUCGACCUGUUUCAACCACUUACGAGCAGCUGGAUCAUUGCCGCCCGCAUUCGUGCUGGUGGAGGAGCCAGCAACGUUGGCAGCAGUAGCUGCCUCCCUGAGUAGGGCCUGCAUUGGUACAACUUUAGUGGACCGGUUUGCACCCACGUCCGUCAGGGGAAUACGGAUGUGUACCGGCUCCGGCGGCACUCCCCCGUUGCAUAUUUCGUUGCCGUAGUACAGCGUCAGAUGGAGCAGGUCCUUUUUUUGUCCCUGUGCGUGUUUGUAUGCGCGUAUGGAUGUGUGCGUGGGGACCACAGUAAUAAGGAAACAUAGAUAGCUUAUGUGUGUGUAACGGGUGGCCGGGUACGUGUAUGUGUGUGGGGAAGCCGGGGGUAUGUGAUUGUUGUAUCACGGCUGCAGAAAAGUACCAAUGUCAGAAUCCCGUGAUAUGCCCUCCAGGAUACUACAGUAUGCACGCAUUUGACAGUUUCUGACACCACCGGUACCUGUAUCACCAGGCUGCAUACUCCUGUACAUGAAGGACAUGCAGCCCAACGUCCUCACCGUACACCAAGCUCAAGUUUCUCGUCCUGCCCCUUCAGCGGUAGACUGACGUGAAUUGCAGCUCCCCGAAUGCUGCCCUGCUGCUGCUCACCCUUGGCAGCAGUGGCAGCUGCAGCGGCUCGAAGGAUUCGGGGUUGGAUGCAUAGCUCGACUGACAGACUGACGCCACAGAAGGGCUUAAGUGCCAGAGCGUCAGUCAGCUCGACAACCAAGAUGCCGCCGUUGCCUGUGUUCAAGUUGCGUUUAACGAAGUCCCUGGGAUCAGCAGGUCAGGUAGAGGCAGGUCAGGUAGAGGCAGGUCAGGUAGGGGCAGGUCAGGUAGGGGCAGGUCAGGUACGGUAACAUACAAGCUAUAUAGCCAUGUACACACCGGGCUGGGUUCUGAACGUCAGAGAACCAAGGCACGUAGUUGGUUGCAUAGCGGAGGGAAGGCAGCAAGGGAAUUAUGGUGUGUGUGGCGAGCGAGGGACCAGAAGGCUAUUGUCCAGGACGUUCACCUGAUGUAAUACGAAAAGUAAAAAAAUAAAAGCGUUAACGAUGCUUGAGCUGCCGACCCCGCCCACUCAACCCGUACCAUCCCGCCCAUAACUCCUAAACUUAAGGUACAUGGCGUGCGCGCAGAUGGAUGGAUGGAUGGAUGAACAAAUCGAAGUGACAAAGUGCGGUGAUUUUGGGCCUGUCGUUUUCUUGCUGUUGUCAUGCACGGGCUGCCUGGGUGCCCGAUCUAGCUGAUACCGCACGAGUCGUCGCAGACAUGCUGUAAUGUGAUUGUUAUAGGAGCCGCUGUAAAAUCAUUGCAAAAGUCCGGUCUCUAUUGAACAUUUAAUUUGUGGCAUUUCUUAACACCUUGGCCACCAAUUCGUCAGGCCGCGCAAACCUGCUGCCAGCAUUCCUUAGCUAGAUAUCGGAACGCAGCCGCUGCUGCUGCUGCUGCUGCUUACGGACGCCGCCGCGCGUCGUAACACCGAAGCUAGGUAGCGGCUAAAUUGCAUUAGUGUAGGCACUAUCAGGCUAAUUUUAUCUUUACUUACUGGUCCGUGAAAACCACCUCGGCGACGCCGGUGCUUCCGGAGGCAUAAGUAGGACUGGUCCCUGGCGCGUUGUAGGCUUCAAAAGCGUAACGCGCCGCCUGGCAAGUGUCCUUUAGGCUGGGUGCCACUGGAGGUUGCGCCUGGAAAGAGUAUUUGGAGGUGCUGGUGAAGAACGAUAAAAGGUAAAGUACGCUCGCCAUUGCACGCAGAGGCUUUGCUGCACACUGCAAAAAGCCACGCUCACCUGUUCCAUUUUGGCUUCUGGAAACUCACUCUGUGGUGAAAAAACGCACAAUUUACAGCAUGGACUCUGAGCCUCCAAUAGGUGUGCUGCUCACUGAGCACCACUGAAUGCAGACCGCUUUAUUUAGGUCAUGAAAGGACUAUGAAAAAUGGCAACUUAGGUCAUGAUUGCAACUUUCGAUUCUGGUCUUAAAUAGUCUUCGUACAAUUGCCCGUUCACCCAGCUGGAAAUUACGCGCUCAGUGCACGAUAAUAUAAGUGGUACCCCUGCUGAAAGCCGUGGCGUACAUGGUGAUUUUCAAGCUCCACCGCAGGUGCGUUACGAGAUGUCACGAAAUCCCUUGCAGGCUCCCGUGCUUCAGGGACACCAACUACUCCCUUCCAUCCCCUACGCCUUAUUGUUAUUGUGUGCCUUCAUCCAUAAGCCCUGAUCAUUGCCAUUUUCACUUUUGCCACAUUUUGUGGAGGUGCAUUCUGAACACCUCGUUGGCAUCAGUCACAGGUCCGGCUUCCAUCAGCCAGCUAGGGUGUAGUUUUAAGAUAACUGACAGGCUAAAAGUCGGCGCUUUAAGCACGCGACUUUUAGCCAUUUCCAAGCUAUCAGGGCCCGCCAAAGUUAGUCCGUAUUCAGGGUCGCGCGAGCUCAAUACUGUAUAAUAAGCAAAAUAAUGAUCUCUUAAGUAUUGAACCAUUGUGAUGAUUCCGAUGCUUUACUCAGACCGUUUCGUUGCAAGGUGAACUUACCACCUGAGCGACCUCUACUUAAAGUCCGCGACCUCUACUUAUCCUGUUUAUUUAGCUAAUUCAUUAUGAUAUCAUCAUAAAUAAUGUUUACAUUUGCCGCUUUAGCUAGUUGCGCUGCCGCACCGACGAAACAUGAAGUGACCAUUGAAAGUGCGGUAGGAGUACAUUCGACAAAACUCAGCUGCCAUGGACGCACGCGACUUUUAGCCAAACUUUAGUGGAAUAAAGCGACUGCUAUCUCACCCUUAACUGGGGAGCGCUAACUGGCUAAUGGAAGCCCGCCCUUCAUGUCAAAUGCUGUUUUGGCGGCCCCACGAUACAACCGUUCUCGGCGAGUCGACGAUUUGUAAGUUGUAACCUGUUCGUACCAGAUUCAAGCUGUCAAACAUGAUAUUUUCAGACCCGCGUAGACCCGUAUCAACGAACUUGCCCAACUGCCAGCCUCAGCCUCUGGAGCUGCCCCAAUCACUUUCCCACCAGCGCGCGUCUCGCAACUCCAACAAUCAUUUGCCAUGGCACCGGUCUUGCCUUCUGCUACACAAACAUAGCUCAUAACAUAACACAGGGCGGGAAGGCGGCGGGAUAAAGCCAACCUUGCGGAGGUCAUGUUCGAAGCCUGUUUGAAGGAUAGCGCAGUCCAUCUGCAGAUUUUAUUCAUGAGGCAGAUAGUGGGGAUGGCACGGCCAUCCCACAGGCUGUUGUAUGCGGAGCUGGCUGAACUCCCCUUACAGUAUUACAUGGUGAAACAGAUCCUCCGUUUCUUCACCUUCAAAAGCAAGUGGGGUCCAUUGCUCAUGCAGUUUUACGGCAGGAGAUAACCGAUGCUCUGACCAACCUGGAAUGGGAGGGUUGGGGAACCUCAAUGUUAUGACUGUUUUCCUUCUUGGAGUGCAAUAUAUGGAGCGGAAUACCGCAAGAAGUCAUGGGGGGAAAGGAGCGUGUUGACUGGUUGUUGAGUAGGCCUUCGGGUAGAGGAGCGAUGAUAACGGCACAAAGGGAGCGCUGAUGAGCGGCUGGGACCAUACGCGUCUGACUGUCUUGCCAGAGGAGUACCCAUCAGAUGGGAAACAAUCGGGAUUGCAAAUGGUGAAGUAUAAGCACUGAAUGGGGCUGCCUUUUUCGGGAGCCCCAGCCGUCAUGUGGCCAACACAUGCUAAGGUUUUCAUUCCUCGUUUAGCACAUCGUAAGUUAAUGCAGUUUCGUUUGUGUUGCUGGGCUUUGGAGGCAAACAGAGCACGAAGGGGCAAGUACCAUGUCCCCAGGGGGCAGCGGUUUUGCCGCUGUUUUGCCGUACUAAUAGCCGAAUCGGGGAUGGACACACGUGUUAUUGGAAUGCCCAGCCUAUAAUGAUAUUCGUGCUGAAGAGGGAUUCGAUCAUCAACAGAGCAUGUUGGAGGCCAUGAAAUGGGAAGGCAUUGAUCCUGUACACUGAUCCUGUCCUUUCAUGGUGUCGGUUAAAUAUCUUAUUUUAGGCGUAGCCUAAAAUGUGGUUUGCAGACGGGCAUCAGAGCGGCGUCGUACGGUGCGGUUGGUUGGUUGUUGUCUUGAGCUGCUGUUUUGCUCGGUGGUGGUUAGUCUUGUCUUAUUAAUCUUCUUUGUGAUCUCUGAUUCUGCUUCUGGUUGGUACGAGCUCUCUUUAUCAGAACAGCUGCUAGUUGCCACUGUUAUUGUCUGUUGGUCAGCGGUGCGGAUCUGGCCACCUUUCUUUUCAAAAACACGCGCAACGGUUCAAUUCAUUUCGUCAGUUCGUCUGGUGUUGGUUGCUGUAGCCAUGUCGCCCUUUGACCAUCUGCGCACGACCGCUGACUGCGACCGAGAGCUUGUCUCCUUCCCACCGCUGUCAUCGGAUGAACUGGACAUAUUGCAGCGGGUAGAAGAUCAGCUUUUGGCUAUUGACGAGGCGUUGGCGACAGACCUCGGCCAGCAGGAGCAGCAUUUGCCCGCUCGGGCUUCGAAAUCAGCCAAGGACACCCACACAGCCAAACUCAAGUCCAUUCGGUGCAAGCAUGAGUCACAGCGUUCGAGGCUUCUUCGAGCCAACCCGUCCGUUACCAACCUGAAGACUCGUGACACCGCUCGGCUGGUGAUUCAAGAGCGCAAACUUCAGCUCGUCUCCGGUGUUCCGCUGCAGUGGCACCCCCUCCCUAGUGUUGGCGAGGAUGACGCAGGUGAGCUCCCCGCGUUGGACAACGCGGGACCGGGUUGCUCGGGUGGGUUGGGUCAGCACGGGCGCACCCAGGGCGCCGUGGAGGGCGGAGCUCAGGGGGCUCACAUUCUGGCUGGCUCUGACCUUGAAACCAUAGUCGACAAUGGUGGAUACAAUCAGCUGGCGCAGACUAUCAUUGGCAACCUCGAGACGCAGCCCGCCCACGGUGCAGCUCCACCCAGGUGGCUGCAGCCACCAUGCCCGCAACCCCCUCUUCAGCUGCUGUUCAACCCAAGGCCCCUCACCAGGCUGGCGCCAUCGUAGUUCGGCAUGCACUCCCCCCACCGCACCCCUUCAACGCCCCCCUCCCAGUGCUCGCUGGCCCCAGCCACCACUGGCAGCCUGUUGGCAGCCGGCCUGACCACUGCUCCUGGCUUGCUGGGACCCUUCAGUGAUAUGCUCAGCCUCAUGGUGGAUCGGGGGGUCGUCCUGGACACCGUGCCGGAGUGGGGAUUGAUAUUCAAGGAGGCAGGCGGACAGCGCCUGGCGUCCGACCAGUCAGCCUUCAACAGUCAUGCCAACCACGUCAUCAACCACAACAUUGCGGCCACUCAGGCAGCUGCAGUGGAGUUUGACGAGACGCAGGACCCUGAAGCACGGGUGCAGCUGGCCAUGCAGGUAGUGCAGCACUACAAGACAGCAUCCGAGGCGCAGCAGACCCAGAAGUAGCUCAACGACAUGUCACAGCUGUUGCCCUACAAGGAGGUCAUCCGCCUGGUGAGGGAUGGUGACCCAUGUAAGACCUCCCUCGUCGCCUGCCUUGCUUCCCUCUCCUUCGAACAGUGAGCACACCUGGGCACGGCGCUUACAGGGCAGUCUCAGUCGGCCAGCCGGUCCGGUUCCAAGCAGCCCUUCACCUCCACACAGCCCCCCAGGGUGGGUCCCCAAGAGGGCCCCGAGGACAUCACAUGCCUCGUCUGCAACCAGCGGGGCCACUGCUUUCACAACUGCAUGCAACUCCAGGCUAUGCUCCGGGACCAGCAGCAGGCAGCGAUGGAAACACGUUUUAUUGGAAUGCCCAGCCUAUAAUGAUAUUCGUGCUGAAGAGGGAUUCGAUCAUCAACAGAGCAUGUUGGAGGCCAUGAAAUGGGAAGGCAUUGAUCCUGUACACUGAUCCUGUCCUUGGAUGGUGUCAGUUAAAUGUCCAUAAUCAAAGGUGCUCUUAGCUCCUUUCCAGCCAGAGAGUACCGACGUUCAAUCAGCUGCGACCGAGCAGCUGCUGUGGAGGAUUUAUGGGUGGUUUCAGUGGCUAGCAUGCCGUCGCCCUGUGCAUUGCUAUCCCACCCAGAAGAGGUCUUCUCCCGUACUGGCCGCUGAACCCACCACCACACCCCAAUCCCUAGGGGGCAAUCUGCAGCAGCACAAGCCCUUGCACUCUUCUGUGAACGGCUUAGCUUCUUUUCCGGUCAUGUGUGUAGUAGGGGCUCCUGGCUGUACCAGGGGCUCGGCUUCACUCCAAGAGCCCACUGGCAAGGACGGCUACACACUUGGGACUGUUAAGGGAGAGUAGCGGUGUACCUCCAACAAGUGCACUCAUCAGGCAUAAAUGUGUUCACCUCAACCCUGCGCCGUGAGGGCAAUUCCCUGGCAUCCGUUACACAGCGUGUGGAAAUCCUGAUUUGCACCGGACCCAGUUUCCUGACACACAUGGCCCAUGCAAAUUCGGUCGCACCAUGGGGCCAUGGGAGGCCGCGUUAGCAGUGAAGGGUGGUGGCCAGUAGUAAAUCUCAUCACCAUGAAAUAUAGACGGACCACCAUCACCCAAACAUCAACAAAACAAUAACAAUAGAGCUGCAAUGAACGAGACGCGAGACACGCAGAUAGACGAUCACAGACAAACAAUUGGCAGAUGUGUGUUAGGUGUAACGGGUCCAUCAUAGGGCCUGCCGAGCUGUCCAAUUAAGGCAAUAUCAAGAAUACAAUACUUUAUAAUAGGAUAGUAUAUAAUAAGCCCAUCACACGGAAAAUGCGAAAUGAAUCAGGAAGGGAAUCACUUGUUUCUGUUGACCUGUGCAAAUACUCGCAGGCUAACAGUACCAGGUCAAACAGCAUUCUGCUUGCAUUUCUUUGUACGGCACUGGCCAAUGUCCACAGCAUAUACAGCUGCGGGCACCAUCUGGGUCAUCAGCGGCUCCAGGGUAUCAGGGUAGGUGUAUCUGGUGCCUGCUGGACGGUAGACAGCUCUCCAGCACUGCUGCUGCUACUGCACUGCUGUUGCUGCUGCACUGCUGUUGCUACUGUGCGGUGGCGGCCUGACAUCCGGUGACUGCUGGAUCCAUUGUCCAUCAGCACUGCCGUCAGCCACCGAAGCAACCUAAAAACGGCGGACGCCUGAAAGCGGCGGUGCUCAUGCAGCAGGAGCCUGGAUGGUGCGAGGAGAGGAGCGAGUGAAAGAUUGUGGUGUUCGUGUGUGAGUGGUGUUGUGUAUGUAUCAAGUCAAUUGAGGAGCCACAGCCAGUAUGCAAGUACCUGGGUCCCAUGACUGUACCCUCUCAUGACUGACUACACUCCACUCACCCACAAGCCAGCCAACCCGCCAGCUCCUCACGGCAUCUGUGCCUGUUCUACUGGGGGUGAUCCAUUCGGGCCUUACCUGCUGGGUUGGGGGCUCUGCCAGGGCCUCAGCCGCCUGUGGCUGGGCCUGGUCGACCAUUUCCCGGGGGCGUUUCAACUUAGGAUAUUUACAAAGCCCGUUGUAAUAUGCAACCUCCAGGUGGGCUUCAAUGCCCUCCCUGAUUCCGUCCAGGGUUGACGGCACUGGGAGCCGGUGUGGGCCGGAAUCCGCAAUAGGGCCCACACGAGCUUUUGGGUCGUUCUCCUGGGGUUGGGUUGUGUUAUUAAGGCAGGGGGGAGGUUCGCAGCGUCAGUGGCUGGGUAGGUGACUGGGUGGUGUAUUACGUGGGAUGACGGGGUGCGACUCAGCCGGCCUCAUGCAGUUUAGAUAAUAAGGGUAGAUGGCGCUUGAUCAUGUGCCUGCUCCCCACGAUGACCAGUAGUGAGAUGUCAAGAAAGGCCAGCAGCACAGAUGGUGUAGCUAGAGUCAUACGUAAGUCUUGCAUAAAAAGGAUUGUCCAAUAUUGUGUAUGUGUAAUUUUAGUUUAGGGAACCAGGACAACCACAAAAUAGCGACCAUUCCUGCAGAAGGGACCCAAACGCAUGUCAUUGUAAGCAUGGCGCGGCGUGGAAUGGCGGG